AGGGAUCAUUACUGAGUUUACGCUCUACAACCCUUUGUGAACAUACCUAUAACUGUUGCUUCGGCGGGCAGGGUCUCCGUGACCCUCCCGGCCUCCCGCCCCCGGGCGGGUCGGCGCCCGCCGGAGGAUAACCAAACUCUGAUUUAACGACGUUUCUUCUGAGUGGUACAAGCAAAUAAUCAAAACUUUUAACAACGGAUCUCUUGGUUCUGGCAUCGAUGAAGAACGCAGCGAAAUGCGAUAAGUAAUGUGAAUUGCAGAAUUCAGUGAAUCAUCGAAUCUUUGAACGCACAUUGCGCCCGCCAGCAUUCUGGCGGGCAUGCCUGUUCGAGCGUCAUUUCAACCCUCAAGCUCUGCUUGGUGUUGGGGCCCUACGGCUGACGUAGGCCCUCAAAGGUAGUGGCGGACCCUCCCGGAGCCUCCUUUGCGUAGUAACUUUACGUCUCGCACUGGGAUCCGGAGGGACUCUUGCCGUAAAACCCCCAAUUUUCCAAAGGUUGACCUCGGAUCAGGUAGGAAUACCCGCUGAACUUAA
rnacentral:rRNA from 1 species